AAAGGUACUCCGGGGAUAACAGGCUGAUACCGCCCAAGAGUUCAUAUCGACGGCGGUGUUUGGCACCUCGAUGUCGGCUCAUCACAUCCUGGGGCUGAAGUAGGUCCCAAGGGUAUGGCUGUUCGCCAUUUAAAGUGGUACGCGAGCUGGGUUUAGAACGUCGUGAGACAGUUCGGUCCCUAUCUGCCGUGGGCGCUGGAGAACUGAGGGGGGCUGCUCCUAGUACGAGAGGACCGGAGUGGACGCAUCACUGGUGUUCGGGUUGUCAUGCCAAUGGCACUGCCCGGUAGCUAAAUGCGGAAGAGAUAAGUGCUGAAAGCAUCUAAGCACGAAACUUGCCCCGAGAUGAGUUCUCCCUGACUCCUUGAGAG
rnacentral:rRNA from 1 species